GCUUCUAAAGGAUAACAGCUCAUCCAUUGGUCUUAGGAACCAAAAACUCUUGGUGCAAAUCUUAGGAACCAAA
rnacentral:tRNA from 1 species